GUGGGGAAUCUUGCGCAAUGGACGAAAGUCUGACGCAGCGACGCCGCGUGGAGGAUGACGGUCUUCGGAUUGUAAACUCCUGUUAAGUGGAAAGAAAGCCACACUUCAAAUAGAUGUGUGGGAUGACGGUACCAUUAGAGAAAGUCCCGGCUAACUUCGUGCCAGCAGCCGCGGUAAUACGAAGGGGACUAGCGUUAUUCGGAGUUACUGGGCGUAAAGAGCGCGUAGGCGGUCUCUUAAGUCAGCUGUUAAAUCCCACGGCCUAACUGUGGAUAUGCGGUUGAUACUGUGAGACUAGAGGUUGAGAGAGAGGGACGGAAUUCUCGGAGUAGCGGUGGAAUGCGUAGAUCUCGAGAGGAACACCGAUGGCGAAGGCAGUUUCUUGGUUCAAUACUGACGCUAAAGCGCGAAAGCGUGGGGAGCAAACAGGAUUAGAUACCCGUGUAGUCC
rnacentral:rRNA from 1 species